rnacentral:rRNA from 1 species
UGGCGUAACGAUGGCCACACUGUCUCCACCCGAGACUCAGUGAAAUUGAAAUCGCGGUGAAGAUGCCGUGUACCCGCGGCUAGACGGUAAGACCCCGUGAACCUUUACUACAGCUUCACACUGGACUUUGAUUUGUCAUGUGCAGGAUAGGUGGGAGACUGAGAAGCGUGAGCGUUAGCUUGCGUGGAGUCGCCCUUGAAAUACCACCCUUGAUACGUUGAGGUUCUAACUCAGUCCCAUGAGCUGGGACGAGGACAGUGUGUGGUGGGUAGUUUGACUGGGGCGGUCUCCUCCUAAAGAGUAACGGAGGAGCACGAAGGUGCACUCAGCAUGGUCGGAAAUCAUGCGUAGCGUGUAAAGGCAAAAGUGCGCUUGACUGCGAGACAGACAUGUCGAGCAGGGUCGAAAGACGGUCUUAGUGAUCCUGUGGUUCUGAAUGGAAGGGCCAUUGCUUAACGGAUAAAAGGUACUCCGGGGAUAACAGGCUGAUACCGCCCAAGAGUACACAUCGACGGCGGUGUUUGGCACCUCGAUGUCGGCUCAUCACAUCCUGGGGGCGGAGCAGUUCCCAAGGGUAUGGCUGUUCGCCAUUUAAAGUGGUACGCGAGCUGGGUUUAGAACGUCGUGAGACAGUUCGGUCCCUAUCUGCCGUGGGCGUUUGAGAUUUGAGAGGAGCUGCUCCUAGUACGAGAGGACCGGAGUGGACGAACCUCUGGUGUUCCGGUUGUCACGCCAGUGGCACUGCCGGGUAGCUAUGUUCGGAAAGGAUAACCGCUGAAAGCAUCUAAGCGGGAAGCCCACCUCAAGAUUAGAUCUCACAAAUCUUCAAGAUUUCUGUAGGGUCCUUGUAGACUACAAGGUUGAUAGGCGGGAUGUGUAAGCGUUGCAAGGCGUUGAGCUAACCCGUACUAAUUGCCCGUGCGGCUUGACCAU